CGGGGCUUUUAUUUCGGUAAGAGCCUAGUGGCAAACGGGUGAGUAACGCGUAGGCAACCUACCUUCAAGAUGGGGACAACAUUCCGAAAGGGGUGCUAAUACCGAAUGUUAUAAAAGCUUUGCAUGAAGCUUUUAUCAAAGAUGGCUUUGGCUAUUACUUGGAGAUGGGCCUGCGUCUGAUUAGCUAGUUGGUGACGGUAACGGCGCACCAAGGCGACGAUCAGUAGCCGGUCUGAGAGGAUGGACGGCCACAUUGGGACUGAGACACGGCCCAGACUCCUACGGGAGGCAGCAGUGGGGAAUCUUCCGCAAUGGGCGAAAGCCUGACGGAGCAACGCCGCGUGAACGAGGAAGGUCUUCGGAUCGUAAAGUUCUGUUGCAAGGGACGAAUGGCAAUAUCGCUAAUAUCGGUAAUGCAUGACGGUACCUUGUUAGAAAGCCACGGCUAACUACGUGCCAGCAGCCGCGGUAAUACGUAGGCGGCAAGCGUUGUCCGGAAUCAUUGGGCGUAAAGGGAGCGCAGGCGGAUAGUUAAGUGGAUCUUAAAAAGUGCGGGGCUCAACCCCGUGAUGGGGUCCAAACUGGCAAUCUUGAGUGCAGGAGAGGAAAGCGGAAUUCCCAGUGUAGCGGUGA
rnacentral:rRNA from 1 species